GACCAUGAUGAGAAUCUGGAAUAGGAAGUGCCGUCAGAUGCGAUAACGGAUGACAACUUUCCACUCUGACU